rnacentral:rRNA from 1 species
UAGGUUUAAGAGACAACCUGGAGAACUGAAACAUCUAAGUAACCAGAGGAAAAGAAAUCAAUUGAGAUUCCGUUAGUAGUGGCGAGCGAACGCGGAGUAGGCCAGUAGUUUUGUUAGAAAAAUUUGAAUAGUUUGGAAAUGCUAACCAUAGAGGGUGAUAGUCCCGUAUGAGUAAUGUCUAACAAAAUUCUUGAGUAAAGCGGGACACGAGAAAUCCUGCUCGAAUAUAGGGGGACCACCCUCUAAGCCUAAAUACUCUUCAGUGACCGAUAGUGAACUAGUACCGUGAGGGAAAGGUGAAAAGAACCCCUAUUAGGGGAGUGAAAUAGAACCUGAAACUGCAUGCCUACAAUCAGUCCGAGCCCUUUUUAGGGUGAGGGCGUACCUUUUGUAUAAUGGGUCAGUGACUUAAUUUAUUAAGCAAGCUUAAGCCAUCUAGGUGUAGGCGCAGCGAAAGCAAGUCUUAAUAGGGCGAUUAGUUUAAUGAAUUAGACCCGAAAACGAAUGAGCUUACCAUGAGCA